GUCCCGGCAGCAGCGGCAGCGCCGUCCUGUUCUCUGGCUCUCCUCGCCAUCUCUACUCCUCGCUUCCGGAAACAUGGCCUCUGGUGUGGCUGUCUCUGAUGGCGUCAUCAAGGUGUUCAAUGACAUGAAGGUGCGCAAGUCUUCCACACCAGAGGAGGUAAAGAAGAGCAAGAAGGCGUUGCUCUUCUGCUUGAGCGAGGACAAGAAGAACAUCAUCCUGGAGGAGGGCAAGCAGAUCCUGGUAGGUGAUGUGGGCCAGACUGUCGAUGACCCCUACGCCACCUUUGUCAAGAUGCUGUCAGAUAAGGACUGCCGCUAUGCCCUCUAUGAUGCAACCUAUGAGACCAAGGAGAGCAAGAAGGAGGACCUGGUGUUUAUCUUCUGGGCUCCUGAGUGUGCACCCCUUAAAAGUAAAAUGAUUUAUGCCAGCUCCAAGGAUGCCAUCAAGAAGAAGCUGACAGGAAUCAAGCACGAAUUACAAGCAAACUGCUACGAGGAGGUCAAGGAUCGCUGCACCCUGGCAGAGAAACUGGGGGGCAGCGCCGUCAUCUCCCUGGAGGGCAACCCUUUGUGAGCCCCUUCUAGUCCCCUGCCAGACCGGGGGGGCUGGGGAGAUCCCAGCAGGGGGAGGGCAAUCCCUUCACCCCAGUUGCCAAACAGCCCCCUCCCACCCCCUGGAGUUCCCUCCCUCCAUCCCUGACGGUUCUGGCCUUCCCAAACUGC